UGAUCAGCGGCAAAGUUACUUCACCUAAAAGCUGAAUGUUACAGUCUCAGGCAUUGGCUAUUUUCCUUGUAAGUGCCUAUGCAUUUCGAAAUUAAGAGUUAUAACUCUAUGUGAUAACCAUUAUUUGUACCGAUUUGAUAAUUAGUAUUGUUAAACAAAGGAAAAAUUGGCUUAGCUCAUGGCUGAUUCUCUUUCCAUUUUAUCUUGGCCGAAAAAUUAUGGGGCUGGAUA